rnacentral:rRNA from 1 species
AUUGAACGCUGGCGGCAUGCCUUACACAUGCAAGUCGGACGGCAGCGCGGGAGCAAUCCUGGCGGCGAGUGGCGAACGGGUGAGUAAUAUAUCGGAACGUGCCCAGUAGUGGGGGAUAGCCCGGCGAAAGCCGGAUUAAUACCGCAUACGACCUACGGGUGAAAGGGGGGGAUCGCAAGACCUCUCGCUAUUGGAGCGGCCGAUAUCAGAUUAGGUAGUUGGGGGGGUAAAGGCCUACCAAGCCUGCGAUCUGUAGUUGGUCUGAGAGGACGACCAGCCACACUGGGACGGAGACACGGCCCAGACUCCUACGGGAGGCAGCAGUGGGGAAUUUUGGACAAUGGGCGCAAGCCUGAUCCAGCAAUGCCGCGUGCAGGAAGAAGGCCUUCGGGUUGUAAACUGCUUUUGUCAGGGGAGAAAACCUCUGGGUUAAUACCUCGGGGGGAUGACGGUACCUGAAGAAUAAGCACCGGCUAACUACGUGCCAGCCGCCGCAGUAAUAC